rnacentral:rRNA from 1 species
UACGAAGGGGACUAGCGUUGUUCGGAUUUACUGGGCGUAAAGCGCGCGUAGGCGGAUCGCUAAGUCAGGGGUGAAAUGCCAAGGCUCAACCUUGGAACUGCCUUUGAUACUGACGAUCUGGAGAUUGGGGAGAGGUGAGUGGAAUUCCGAGUGUAGAGGUGAAAUUCGUAGAUAAUUCGGAGGAACACCAGAAGCGAAGGCGGCUCACUGGCCCAAUACUGACGCUGAGGCG